GACGAACGCUGGCGGCGUGCUUAACACAUGCAAGUCGAACGAGAUUUCGUCUGUUUCGAUCUUCGGAAAGGGACGGACGGAUGAAAGUGGCGAACGGGCGAGUAACGCGUGGGUAAUCUGCCCCUCACAGGGGGACAACAUCGGGAAACCGGUGCUAAUACCGCAUAAACCGGCAGUGCCGCAUGGCACAACCGGCAAAGGACGAAAGUCCGGUGGGGGAUGAACCCGCGUCCAAUUAGCUAGUUGGUGAGGUAACGGCUCACCAAGGCGACGAUUGGUAGCCGGGCUGAGAGGCCGAUCGGCCGCAUUGGGACUGAGACACGGCCCAGACUCCUACGGGAGGCAGCAGUAGGGAAUUUUCCACAAUGGACGAAAGUCUGAUGGAGCAACGCCGCGUGCAGGAUGAAUGCCUUCGGGUUGUAAACUGCUUUUAUCUGUGACGAUAAUGACGGUAGCAGAUGAAUAAGGAUCGGCUAACUCCGUGCCAGCAGCCGCGGUAAAACGUAGCGU
rnacentral:rRNA from 1 species